CGGGAAUCUUCCACAAUGGACGGAAGUCUGAUGCAGCAACGCCGCGUGAGGGAAGAAGGUCUUCGGAUUGUAAACCUUUGUCCUUGGUGACGAAACAAAUGACGGUAGCCAAGGAGGAAGCUCCGGCUAACUACGUGCCAGCAGCCGCGGUAAUACGUAGGGAGCAAGCGUUGUCCGGAUUUACUGGGUGUAAAGGGUGCGUAGGCGGCUCUGCAAGUCAGGCGUGAAAACUAUGGGCUUAACCCAUAGACUGCGUUUGAAACUGUGGGGCUUGAGUGAAGUAGAGGUAGGCGGAAUUCCCGGUGUAGCGGUGAAAUGCGUAGAGAUCGGGAGGAACACCAGUGGCGAAGGCGGCCUACUGGGCUUUAACUGACGCUGAAGCACGAAAGCAUGGGGAGCAAAC
rnacentral:rRNA from 1 species